rnacentral:rRNA from 1 species
AAUAUUGGACAAUGGGGGCAACCCUGAUCCAGCCAUGCCGCGUGUGUGAAGAAGGUCUACUGAUUGUAAAGCACUUCAAGUUGGGAGGAAGUGCUUUAAGUUAAUACCCUGAAGUUUUGACGUUACCAACAGAAUAAUCACCGGCUAACUCUGUGACAGCAGCCGCGGUAAUACGUAGGGUGCAACCGUUAAUCGGAAUUACUGGGCGUAAAGCGCGCGUAGGUGGUUCAGUAAGAUGGGUGUGAAAUCCCCGGGCUUAACCUGGGAACUGCUUUCAUAACUGCUGGGCUAGAGUACGGUAGAGGGUAGUGGAAUUUCCUGUGUAGCGGUGAAAUGCGUAGAUAUAGGAAGGAACACCAGUGGCGAAGGCGACUACCUGGACUGAUACUGACACUGAGGUGCGAAAGCGUGGGGAGCAAAC